rnacentral:rRNA from 1 species
GAUGAACGCUGGCGGCGUGCCUAAUACAUGCAAGUCGAGCGAACGGACGAGAAGCUUGCUUCUCUGAUGUUAGCGGCGGACGUGUGAGUAACACGUGGAUAACCUACCUAUAAGACUGGGAUAACUUCGGGAAACCGGAGCUAAUACCGGAUAAUAUUUUGAACCGCAUGGUUCAAAAGUGAAAUACGGUCUUGCUGUCACUUAUAGAUGGAUCCGCGCUGCAUUAGCUAGUUGGUAAGGUAACGGCUUACCAAGGCAACGAUGCAUAGCCGACCUGAGAGGGUGAUCGGCCACACUGGAACUGAGACACGGUCCAGACUCCUACGGGAGGCAGCAGUAGGGAAUCUUCCGCAAUGGGCGAAAGCCUGACGGAGCAACGCCGCGUGAGUGAUGAAGGUCUUCGGAUCGUAAAACUCUGUUAUUAGGGAAGAACAUAUGUGUAAGUAACUGUGCACAUCUUGACGGUACCUAAUCAGAAAGCCACGGCUAACUACGUG